UGGGGAAUAUUGGACAAUGGGGGCAACCCUGAUCCAGCAAUGCCGCGUGUGUGAAGAAGGCCUUCGGGUUGUAAAGCACUUUUAUCCGGAACGAAACGUGUCAGGUGAAUACCCUGGCAAACUGACGGUACCGGAGGAAUAAGCACCGGCUAACUUCGUGCCAGCAGCCGCGGUAAUACGAAGGGUGCAAGCGUUACUCGGAAUUACUGGGCGUAAAGGGUGCGUAGGUGGUUUGUUAAGUCUGCUGUGAAAUCCCCGGGCUCAACCUGGGAAUGGCAGUGGAUACUGGCAAGCUAGAGUGCGGUAGAGGGUAGUGGAAUUCCCGGUGUAGCAGUGAAAUGCGUAGAGAUCGGGAGGAACACCAGUGGCGAAGGCGGCUACCUGGACCAGCACUGACACUGAAGCACGAAAGCGUGGGGAGCAAACAGGAUUAGAUACCCGUGUAGUCC
rnacentral:rRNA from 1 species